rnacentral:misc_RNA from 1 species
AAGUCGUAACAAGGUAACCGUAGGUGAACCUGCGGAAGGAUCAUUAACACGUAUCCAAACGUUAAACCCCCCCCGUGAACCUUCAUCGUGCUCUAGUCUGUAACUGAGUGGGUAGGCCCAACCACUGACGGACUUUGAGCCGUCAGUUUUUUACUAACCCUGUAAUCAUUGACUGUGACUGAAACAUCUUUAAUCAUUAAAGACAACUGUUAGCAAUGGAUCUCUAGGCUCUC